rnacentral:rRNA from 1 species
UUAAGCGACUAAGCGUACACGGUGGAUGCCCUGGCAGUCAGAGGCGAUGAAGGACGUGCUAAUCUGCGAUAAGCGUCGGUAAGGUGAUAUGAACCGUUAUAACCGGCGAUUUCCGAAUGGGGAAACCCAGUGUGUUUCGACACACUAUCAUUAACUGAAUCCAUAGGUUAAUGAGGCGAACCGGGGGAACUGAAACAUCUAAGUACCCCGAGGAAAAGAAAUCAACCGAGAUUCCCCCAGUAGCGGCGAGCGAACGGGGAGGAGCCCAGAGCCUGAAUCAGUGUGUGUGUUAGUGGAAGCGUCUGGAAAGGCGCGCGAUACAGGGUGACAGCCCCGUACACAAAAAUGCACAUACUGUGAGCUCGAUGAGUAGGGCGGGACACGUGGUAUCCUGUCUGAAUAUGGGGGGACCAUCCUCCAAGGCUAAAUACUCCUGACUGACCGAUAGUGAACCAGUACCGUGAGGGAAAGGCGAAAAGAACCCCGGCGAGGGGAGUGAAAAAGAACCUGAAACCGUGUACGUACAAGCAGUGGGAGCCUCUUUUAUGGGGUGACUGCGUACCUUUUGUAUAAUGGGUCAGCGACUUAUAUUCUGUAGCAAGGUUAACCGAAUAGGGGAGCCGAAGGGAAACCGAGUCUUAACUGGGCGUUAAGUUGCAGGGUAUAGACCCGAAACCCGGUGAUCUAGCCAUGGGCAGGUUGAAGGUUGGGUAACACUAACUGGAGGACCGAACCGACUAAUGUUGAAAAAUUAGCGGAUGACUUGUGGCUGGGGGUGAAAGGCCAAUCAAACCGGGAGAUAGCUGGUUCUCCCCGAAAGCUAUUUAGGUAGCGCCUCGUGAAUUCAUCUCCGGGGGUAGAGCACUGUUUCGGCAAGGGGGUCAUCCCGACUUACCAACCCGAUGCAAACUGCGAAUACCGGAGAAUGUUAUCACGGGAGACACACGGCGGGUGCUAACGUCCGUCGUGAAGAGGGAAACAACCCAGACCGCCAGCUAAGGUCCCAAAGUCAUGGUUAAGUGGGAAACGAUGUGGGAAGGCCCAGACAGCCAGGAUGUUGGCUUAGAAGCAGCCAUCAUUUAAAGAAAGCGUAAUAGCUCACUGGUCGAGUCGGCCUGCGCGGAAGAUGUAACGGGGCUAAACCAUGCACCGAAGCUGCGGCAGCGACACUAUGUGUUGUUGGGUAGGGGAGCGUUCUGUAAGCCUGUGAAGGUGUGCUGUGAGGCAUGCUGGAGGUAUCAGAAGUGCGAAUGCUGACAUAAGUAACGAUAAAGCGGGUGAAAAGCCCGCUCGCCGGAAGACCAAGGGUUCCUGUCCAACGUUAAUCGGGGCAGGGUGAGUCGACCCCUAAGGCGAGGCCGAAAGGCGUAGUCGAUGGGAAACAGGUUAAUAUUCCUGUACUUGGUGUUACUGCGAAGGGGGGACGGAGAAGGCUAUGUUGGCCGGGCGACGGUUGUCCCGGUUUAAGCGUGUAGGCUGGUUUUCCAGGCAAAUCCGGAAAAUCAAGGCUGAGGCGUGAUGACGAGGCACUACGGUGCUGAAGCAACAAAUGCCCUGCUUCCAGGAAAAGCCUCUAAGCAUCAGGUAACAUCAAAUCGUACCCCAAACCGACACAGGUGGUCAGGUAGAGAAUACCAAGGCGCUUGAGAGAACUCGGGUGAAGGAACUAGGCAAAAUGGUGCCGUAACUUCGGGAGAAGGCACGCUGAUAUGUAGGUGAAGCGACUUGCUCGUGGAGCUGAAAUCAGUCGAAGAUACCAGCUGGCUGCAACUGUUUAUUAAAAACACAGCACUGUGCAAACACGAAAGUGGACGUAUACGGUGUGACGCCUGCCCGGUGCCGGAAGGUUAAUUGAUGGGGUCAGCGCAAGCGAAGCUCUUGAUCGAAGCCCCGGUAAACGGCGGCCGUAACUAUAACGGUCCUAAGGUAGCGAAAUUCCUUGUCGGGUAAGUUCCGACCUGCACGAAUGGCGUAAUGAUGGCCAGGCUGUCUCCACCCGAGACUCAGUGAAAUUGAACUCGCUGUGAAGAUGCAGUGUACCCGCGGCAAGACGGAAAGACCCCGUGAACCUUUACUAUAGCUUGACACUGAACAUUGAGCCUUGAUGUGUAGGAUAGGUGGGAGGCUUAGAAGUGUGGACGCCAGUCUGCAUGGAGCCGACCUUGAAAUACCACCCUUUAAUGUUUGAUGUUCUAACGUUGACCCGUGAUCCGGGUUGCGGACAGUGUCUGGUGGGUAGUUUGACUGGGGCGGUCUCCUCCUAAAGAGUAACGGAGGAGCACGAAGGUUGGCUAAUCCUGGUCGGACAUCAGGAGGUUAGUGCAAUGGCAUAAGCCAGCUUGACUGCGAGCGUGACGGCGCGAGCAGGUGCGAAAGCAGGUCAUAGUGAUCCGGUGGUUCUGAAUGGAAGGGCCAUCGCUCAACGGAUAAAAGGUACUCCGGGGAUAACAGGCUGAUACCGCCCAAGAGUUCAUAUCGACGGCGGUGUUUGGCACCUCGAUGUCGGCUCAUCACAUCCUGGGGCUGAAGUAGGUCCCAAGGGUAUGGCUGUUCGCCAUUUAAAGUGGUACGCGAGCUGGGUUUAGAACGUCGUGAGACAGUUCGGUCCCUAUCUGCCGUGGGCGCUGGAGAACUGAGGGGGGCUGCUCCUAGUACGAGAGGACCGGAGUGGACGCAUCACUGGUGUUCGGGUUGUCAUGCCAAUGGCACUGCCCGGUAGCUAAAUGCGGAAGAGAUAAGUGCUGAAAGCAUCUAAGCACGAAACUUGCCCCGAGAUGAGUUCUCCCUGACCCUUUAAGGGUCCUGAAGGAACGUUGAAGACGACGACGUUGAUAGGCCGGGUGUGUAAGCGCAGCGAUGCGUUGAGCUAACCGGUACUAAUGAACCGUGAGGCUUAACCUU